GGGGAAGCUAAGGGCAUGAGAAAGAUUAUGCAAGUUCUUCAGUAAGGGUUUUCAGUGUGGCUGUUUUCUUUGUAUUUGCAAACCAGAAAAAUUCUUGUACCUGGAUUUUACAUAUUACACAACCCCUGAGACUUUCCAUUUCUUGUGCCUAUGCUAUUUUUUUGACUAGCUUAUACCCCACCUUAACACUCCAUUUGAGAUGCACUCCAUGGGCACUCACAGGAACUGUAGUGGGACCAGUGUUGUACUGGAUAAUAAGGCCCUGAUGUUGCUGUAACUUCACUGGAAGAAUCCAGACCACAACAGCACAACAGCAUCAACUCACUUCCUCAUACAACAGAGAAUUUCUCCCAGUUUGUCCUUUAUGGUUAUUCAUCACCAGUGAUCCAGCAGAGCGUACAAAAUUUUUCUAAGGACUGCCAAGUACAAGUGAUGUAAUUGCCUGAUGGUGGUGAUAUUUGCAAGACCUUUGGAGAGUUCAGAAUUAGCUUCUUUACAGGUGAAGGCUGUGAGAGAACUCAUGAUAUUUCUGCAGUGGACUCCACAAGCUGUACUGGGAGGCUCUCCAGAGGAAGCUGCCACUCCCACUAUGCCCAGAGCAGAUGCCCAGCAGCCCCACAAGGGUGGAGGCACUGAUGCCACGGAACAGCACCGAGCUGCUCCCUGGCACCGGGGCACAGGGAUACACCCUGGAAUGUGUCACACAUCAGCUGGGUCACACGUGGAGCCCCGGUGUCACUACUGUGGCCACUCUCCUCCCAGACACUGCAAGUUCAGGCUGCCUUCUGCCAGCAGAGGUACUGAAGUGAGAGUGUGAGGAAGAAAAGCUGAUGUAAUGUCUUCCAGGAAAGUGAUGAAAGAAAGAGGAAAUAAAUGUUUGGAAUUUUGUCCUCUUUUUGUCUCA
rnacentral:lncRNA from 1 species